rnacentral:rRNA from 1 species
AACGAACGCUGGCGGCAUGCCUAACACAUGCAAGUCGAACGAGAUCUUCGGGUCUAGUGGCGCACGGGUGCGUAACGCGUGGGAAUCUGCCCUUUGGUUCGGAAUAACAGUUGGAAACGACUGCUAAUACCGGAUGAUGACGAAAGUCCAAAGAUUUAUCGCCAGAGGAUGAGCCCGCGUAGGAUUAGCUAGUUGGUGUGGUAAAGGCGCACCAAGGCGACGAUCCUUAGCUGGUCUGAGAGGAUGAUCAGCCACACUGGGACUGAGACACGGCCCAGACGCCUACGGGAGGCAGCAGUGGGGAAUAUUGGACAAUGGCCGAAAGCCUGAUCCAGCAAUGCCGCGUGAGUGAAGAAGGCCUUAGGGUUGUAAAGCUCUUUUACCCGGGAUGAUAAUGACAGUACCGGGAGAAUAAGCUCCGGCUAACUCCGUGCCAGCAGCCGCCGUAA